rnacentral:lncRNA from 1 species
ACGUCUUUACCACAAUGUACGAGUUAAAAUCUUGAACUGUUCAAUUUGUGCAAUUGAUUCUCUUUUUAGAUAAUAUGUGGCUGUGGUGGUAGAUACUAGUUUAUAUAGAGGAUGAUUUUGAUAUAAAGUUUUGACUUAUAAAUUGUGUACUCUAAUUUGACGCAAAUGGAUUAUAUGUUCUCAUUUUUUGGUCGGUAAUUCUAUGCUCUUUUGUGUAAUGUGAAUUGUGUUUUAUGUUGAUGAUUGUGAACAGUGGUCCAUCAAGGUUUGAUGGCGAAAGACCACGAUUUGGUGAUCGGGAUGGUUAUCGUGGAGGGCCCCGAGGUGGACCACCUGGUGAGUUUGGUGGAGACAAGGGUGGAGCUCCUGCUGAUUACCAGCCUUCUUUUAGGGUAAUCUCUCCCUCGUGUUCUUUCUCAUGAUAUUUUUUGAUUGAAUCACAAGUUGUGCGAUGUUGGAAUCUUAAAAUAUUAGUGUAAUUGGCAAAUAAUGUAGAUUGGGUUAGAAUGGUUCUAUUACCAAUUCUUGGCUGAAUAUAAUAUCAACUAUUAAUCUACUUACUUUUAUAUAUCUUGUGUUCCUAUUCCACUCAUACAAGGACCUGGUGGAAGGAUUGGUUUUGGUCGUGGAUCCGGUGGAUAUGGUGCGGGGGCUACUAGCUCUGAUCUUCCUUAAGUUGCUGCUUCAUUGCUUUGUAAACUCCAAAUAUUGAUGGGUAACGUGUAAUAGUUCUAGGCUUGAGCAGAUAUGUUGUGUUGCGAAAGUAGUUCCAACUAGUGUUAUCAUAUGAAUGCUCAAGGCUCUUGCACUUUCUUUUGGAUUUCAGCAAUCAAGCUCGUUUGUUUUAUUACAUAAUUGAAUUAUGUUGAAGUUAAAUGAAUUUUGUAAACAUAAACCCACUCAUCUUUUAUGUUCCCCUGAAUUAAAGUACCAAAGCAAAUGGCAAAUGGCAAAUGGCUUACACUUGGCUCU